GACGAACGCUGGCGGCGUGCCUAAUACAUGCAAGUAGAACGCACAGUUUAUACCGUAGCUUGCUACACCAUAGACUGUGAGUUGCGAACGGGUGAGUAACGCGUAGGUAACCUGCCUGGUAGCGGGGGAUAACUAUUGGAAACGAUAGCUAAUACCGCAUAAUAUUAAUUAUUGCAUGAUAAUUAAUUGAAAGGUGCAAUUGCACCACUACCAGAUGGACCUGCGUUGUAUUAGCUAGUAGGUGAGGUAACGGCUCACCUAGGCGACGAUACAUAGCCGACCUGAGAGGGGGAUCGGCCACAAUGGGACUGAGACACGGCCCAGACUCCUACGGGAGGCAGCAGUAGGGAAUCUUCGGCAAUGGACGAAAGUCUGACCGAGCAACGCCGCGUGAGUGAAGAAGGUUUUCGGAUCGUAAAGCUCUGUUGUAAGAGAAGAACGGGUGUGAGAGUGGAAAGUUCACACUGUGACGGUAUCUUACCAGAAAGGGACGGCUAACUACGUG
rnacentral:rRNA from 1 species